rnacentral:rRNA from 1 species
UACGGGGGGGGCAAGCGUUGUUCGGAAUUACUGGGCGUAAAGGGCUCGUAGGCGGCCAACUAAGUCGGAUGUGAAAUCCCCAGGCUCAACUUGGGAACUGCAUCCGAUACUGGAUGGCUUGAAUUCGGGAGAGGGAUGCAGAAUUCCAGGUGUAGCGGUGAAAUGCGUAGAUAUCUGGAGGAAUACCGGUGGCGAAGGCGGAUCUCUGGGCCUUACCUGACGCUGAGGCGCGAAAGCUAGGGGAGCAAACAGG